rnacentral:rRNA from 1 species
ACAGCAGCCGCCACGGGAAUACGUAGGGUGCAAGCGUUAAUCGGAAUUACUGGGCGUAAAGCGUGCGCAGGCGGUUAUGCAAGACAGAUGUGAAAUCCCCGGGCUCAACCUGGGAACUGCAUUUGUGACUGCAUGACUAGAGUACGGCAGAGGGGGAUGGAAUUCCGCGUGUAGCAGUGAAAUGCGUAGAUAUGCGGAGGAACACCGAUGGCGAAGGCAAUCCCCUGAGCCUGUACUGACGCUCAUGCACGAAAGCGUGGGGAGCAAACAGGAUUAGAUACCCGUGUAGUCCCUGUCUCUUAUAC